rnacentral:misc_RNA from 1 species
UCGUAACAAGGUUUCCGUAGGUGAACCUGCGGAAGGAUCAUUACCGAGUGAGGGCUGCCUCCGGGCGCCCAACCUCCCACCCGUGACUACAUAACCCUGUUGCUUCGGCGGGAAGCCCCCCUGGGGGCCACCGCCGGGGACCACUGAACAUCUUGUCUGAGCAUGUUGCAGUCUGAGCUUGAAUAGCAAAUCAGUCAAAACUUUUAACAAUGGAUCUCUUGGUUCCGGCAUCGAUGAAGAACGCAGCGAACUGCGAUAAUUAAUGUGAAUUGCAGAAUUCAGUGAAUCAUCGAGUCUUUGAACGCACAUUGCGCCCCCUGGUAUUCCGGGGGGCAUGCCUGUCCGAGCGUCAUUGCUGCCCUCAAGCCCGGCUUGUGUGUUGGGUCCUCGUCCCCCCCGGGGGACGGGCCCGAAAGGCAGCGGCGGCACCGUGUCCGGUCCUCGAGCGUAUGGGGCUUUGUCACCCGCUCGAUUAGGGCCGGCCGGGCGCUUGCCGGCGUCUCCAACCAUUAUUUCUUCAGGUUGACCUCGGAUCAGGUAGGGAUACCCGCUGAACUUAAGCAUAUCAUAAAAGCGGAGGA